AAGACCGGUUUCCGUACGAUCACCGAAGUUAAGCAAUGUCGAGCCUGGUAAGAAACAAGAUGGGUGACCGCUUGGGAAUACCAGCUGCUGUAAG